ACUUUCAUAUUUUAAAUUAGAAUUUUGCAUUGAAGCUGCAAAGGUGGUGUAUUAACCUGGGGGUA
rnacentral:tRNA from 1 species